UACGAAGGGUGCAAGCGUUACUCGGAAUUACUGGGCGUAAAGCGUGCGUAGGUGGUUUGUUAAGUCUGAUGUGAAAGCCCUGGGCUCAACCUGGGAAUUGCAUUGGAUACUGGCAGGCUAGAGUGCGGUAGAGGGUAGUGGAAUUCCCGGUGUAGCAGUGAAAUGCGUAGAGAUCGGGAGGAACACCAGUGGCGAAGGCGACUACCUGGACCAGCACUGACACUGAGGCACGAAAGCGUGGGUAGCAAACAGG
rnacentral:rRNA from 1 species